CACAGGGAGGUAGUGACAAUAAAUAACAAUACAGGGCUUUCAAAGUCUUGUAAUUGGAAUGAGUACAAUUUAAAUCACUUAACGAGGAACAAUUGGAGGGCAAGUCUGGUGCCAGCAGCCGCGGUAAUUCCAGCUCCAAUAGCGUAUAUUAAAGUUGUUGCAGUUAAAAAGCUCGUAGUUGAAUUUCGGGCUCGCCGGCGUGGUCCUCCUCACUGACAGCACUUUUUCUACGGGUCCCACCUUCUGGGGCUCCAGGCUGCUCUUAACUGUGUGGUCUGGCGCGGCAGAUACUUUACUUUGAAAAAAUUAAAAUGGUCCAAGCAAGCUUUCCCUUGGAUACCUUAACAUGGAAUAAUAAAAUAAGAAUUUGGUUCUAUUUUGGUGGUUUAAAGGAACCAAGGAAUGAAUAAUAAGGACCGGUGGGGGCAUUAAUAUUUCCAGGCU
rnacentral:rRNA from 1 species